GUAGGGAAGUGGAAAAGUGGAGCCUGCACCGCCCGCUUUCUGCACCCCCGGACACCGCCCCGGUCUCACGCAUGCGCAGGCCGAUCCAGUUCUUUUCGGCUGGAAUGGGGAAUUUGUGAGGUCAAGGAUGCAUUCCAGGAAAGUUCCAUAAAAAUAUACCAUCAACUCCAACCUGAUAUUUGACCUAGCUGUGGAAAACCUCAUUGGCUCCUCACUAGAUCAGACCAUAAAAAUGAUUCAGGAAUGAAAAUCUAAGAUAAAUUCCCACCACUUCAAGAUGUUCUUAUACAAGUCAACAGUCUAGCAGAUCAGCCAGUCUCUUUCAUCAUCAAGCAGACAUACUCAAGAAAGAGGAAUAGUGAAGUGAAAUAUACAGAAGCAUGUUCAAGUUCAUCUGUUGAAUGUGGAAUUGUGAAUAGUGACAAUAUUGAGAAAAAUACUGACUCCAAUCUGCAAACUUCAACUUCAUUUGAGCCACAUUUCAAAAAAAAAAAAGUAAGUGCAAGACGUUAUAAUGAAGAUUACUUAAAAUAUGGCUUUAUCAAAUGUGAAAAACCCUUUGAAAAUGACAGACCUCAGUGUGUUAUUUGUAAUAAUAUUCUUGCGAAUGAAAGCUUAAAACCUUCGAAAUUAAAAAGGCACUUAGAAACUCAGCAUGC
rnacentral:sRNA from 1 species